rnacentral:tRNA from 1 species
UCCCUGGUGGCUCAGAUGGUAAAGAAUCUGCCUGCAGUGCAGGAGACCCAGGUUCUGUCCCUGGACUGGGAA